GCCAAACUCCUCUGUCUCCUCUGUCUCUUUCAAUUCCCUCUAUCCCAUCCAUGCCAAACUUUCAGCCAGUGACUUCACUGCACGCUGCUUCUUAUUCCAGCCCGGGGUGGAAGUCUACAACCCAGGGUCUGUUAAUACAGAAGCAUAAAUCUCUCUGCCUGUGUUCCUGCGUUCAGUUUACAGUCCAAGAGCAGUAACCUUUUUACCUUUGUCUCUGCAGGAUCAAGCACAUCGUUGGGCACACUUAAAAGCGUCUUGUAAAAGAUUUAAUGGUUCGAAUUUCCACUCCUUCGAUUCUGGACGGAUUUCUGUCAUCACACGGGGCAGUGAAAGUGAUGACAGCUCAGAACGGAUGAAUAAAAUCCAAAAGUAUCAACAUUAAAACUAGCGAUGCAAAGCAAGUGAGGUCUUUCAUUGUGAAAAAAUAUUUGUGUAGGUCAAAAAUACUCCGCAGUCCCAUCAGCGGCUGAGACACCCGAUGAAAGAAAAGUUAAAUAACUGAUAUUCUUAAUGUUUUUUUUAAAGCUAGAUGAAUAACACAUUUCCACUCAGUGGAUUUAAAGUUUAAACUUCCAUUUUUUCAGCAUCCUUGAUUAUACAUUGUUUUUUAAUCUGUUAAAUUAAUUAAACUAGCCAAUCAGCUGUUAGGAAUGUACUUUUUUGCUCAACUGGUUGCAGCUUGUCCCGGAAUAAUCCCUCUGACGUAACGUCUAGAAACGAGAACAAUGUGAGCGUAUUUCUCGAAACAAUAAAAGUUUUUCUUCCUCUUCUCAUUGUUGAGUGUGGUAUCAGCGAGACAUUGUGCUCUCGUGAAAAAUCAGUUUGUUUCGGAUACUUCAUUCCUCUGAAAACCCAUCAGAAGUUCUCUUUACAACGCGGACAUGAAGGGAAACAAAAGUGGCGGCUCAAAGGCGGGAAAAGGGAAGAAAAAAACAAGCUGGAAUUGAGUGGUUUGUCAUCGUGGAAAAAAAAAAGACAAUACGCUUCUUUUUUUUGCCUUGUUGUUGUUUAAUUUUUUUGUUUUGAUCAGCAUCUUUGUUUACAAGUGGGUUACAUGAUAGGAAAAGUGAGAGACGUGUCCUUCCUGUCUGAACUUUGGUAAAUACAUUGGAGGCAUGAGAAAAUGUCAAGGCUCAACUGUGGUCAGAGUGCUGCAAGUGGAGCGGUGACUCAUUUUCAGCAUGAGUGUGUCUAUGCACGUUUGUGUGUGCGUGAGGGGAGAGAGUGAGAGAGAUGUAGUGUUUGUAUGUGGCACUAUGUGUGCAGCAGAUGCAGCGAUCUUUAUCUCUCAUUCAUGGCGUCCAAGGAAAUGUAGCGUAAGCUGGUUAACAGUCAUUUUCUCGGUAUCUGCCUGCCUGCCAGAGAUGUGCUGAUAAUCACUGCUUUGUCGCUCAGGCAGCCACCUGCCGUCUUGUUUUGUGGAAACUGAGGUAAUGCUAUAGCAUUGCCCAAUAGUUGUAGUGGUGCCCUCUGCUCCUUCAUUGGUUGACUUUUACAUGUUACAUAGCUGCUCUGUGCAAAGACAGACGCCCAGUAGGAAAUCAGCAGAGGGUCAGCAAAACUUAAUAUACACGCAAGCAAUUUAUGCCACUCUGUCAUCUUCUGCAACUGGAUUUUGUUUUAAAAGUUUGUGCACCUGUUCUGGCUUUGUUCAAAACCAAAUGCGGUAUGUGUAAUAUUGGGGGGGGGAAACUGAUAUACUGCUAAUUGUGAGGCUCAUGGUGUUAACUGAACACUGGUAUUUUGGUGUUUGGAGCCAAGCCUUAAAGGCUCUGCACCAUCUAUGCUUAUUUAAGGUACCAUGGAUAAAGGCAUUCAGCAACUGACAUACAAUACUCAAAAAAAAGCCCACAUAAAGCCCAUAUUUUUGACCAAAGUGAGAAAGAACAGCCUAUAUAGCUUAUACUCUGAUUCACAUCUGCAGCUGAUAAUCACAAUAUGAAACCACAGACUUGGCAGGAUGAGGAGAGCUGUGCCCCUGCCAGCACUUUCACCACAAACUAUCAAACUGCUAUGCCGAGCCUCCUGCUAUAUACUGUGCGCAGCAUCGGUGUGUGUGUACUGAAUACUUGAAUCUGUAAUCAACACAUUCUCCAUAUUCUCCCCCUCAGGUGCCCCGCCAACAUCAAAGGAGGUAAAGGAUGGUUUGGUAUCUCUGUGUGCCUGUGCCUUCCAAUGUAUAAAACAGCCCGGCUUUCAGCCCCAAGACACAGGCGGGGAGCUGCCGAGGAAAUUUAAUUUCACGACUACCACAUUGCUACCUGGCAGUCUCUAAACCACCGUACAAACACAAGACACUUCACCUCGCAGCCAUGGAGCAUGACAUCAAUCCUUUGACGGGUUUCAACUCUGGCUUCUUUAAGUUGGAUGUCAACCCGUUAUUUGGAUAUCGGGAAAUAAUGCACCUCGCCCAUUGAAAGAAGAGGACAUGAGACCUUCAUCCUCUCACAGUCAUCAGUCGUGCUCACCCUGAACAUCCAGGAUAGCUGUAGAUUUUCUGGAAUCAUUCAAAGGGUGUAUGUGGUCGUCUGUCACUUUAUAUAUAAAUGAAUAGAUAAAUAGCAGUAGCCGAGGCUAUGCCACUCAUGCUAACAUCUCCAACUUUAAUAGUAACUCCCAACAUAUUAUUACUCCCACCAGACAAAAACAUAGACACCAAUGUAUAAACCUAUUAAAAAUAAGUAAUACAGAUGUUUCCGUUCUUUAUUUUGGUACUUGCUACAUAAAGGAACAUUAAUAUGAAGAUAUUAACUCCUUUUUAUAUGGUAAUAUAAAUAUCAAUAAUAAUGGGGCAGCGUGGUUUUAAUUGGUCAGCACAUACACAUUAAUGCCAAGUGAGAAAAUGACAGUUAUAUCAGGUGAUUGUUGCACAAGAGAUCUUAAAAUUGUGCUUUUUCUGCUUCCUUUUGUGUGUGUGUGUGCAGAUGUGUA